GUUAACUGGGCCUCCACCCCUUACGCAUUGCAGGCUUCCAACCCAUUCUCGCAGCGCCUCAUCCCCUUCCCUGACACCGCCGCCGCCGCCGCCGCUGAAGGGAUCUCAGGCAGCGGCGCCCUUCCCUCCUCUUGCUCGCUCUGCACCUAGCUAGGCGAUUGCGCAACCCUCUCCUCCUUUGUCCCUCCUUUUUUACCUCCGGCUCCUUGUGCUACCUCCCCAUGGCGCCUCCCUGUCCCGUUGUUCCAUGAAGGUCGAAGGUGUGACAAAGAUGAGAGGAUGAGCACGGGAGGAUGGGAAGACGAGUCGAUCUGGAGCAAGGCGGGGACUUCCCAGCCGCCAAUGUAUUCCUCCCCGUCACCUUCGACGAGUCGAGCUGGAGCAAGGUGGAUGGGUGCUCAUCUGCAGGUCAUGACCACUGGUGAUGUCCUCUCCUCCAAUGGAAGUUGAUGUCAAAUCCCCUCCUCGAAGGUGACAAUCUACUCAUGCAGAUUUGCUUCUCCGGGUAAAAACAUUGUGCGAUGAGGCAAAUGAGAUAUUAGGGAGGAAGCUAAUGUUCAGGUAUGGUAGAUCGUUCUCAUAAUUUUGCAAUGGCGUCUGUUAAUAGGUAAUAAGGUGUUACAAAAUAUAAUGGUAUGCUCUAUUCGGUUGUAGGCUUGUAGUAACAUCAUGCCAGUAUACUCUUAGGCGUGUUCUGCAUUGUUCACUUUGCUCAAAAUUUUGUAAUGGAAUCAUUUUGUUUUGUUAAUAGUGUGGAAUGAACCAACUAGAAAAAGUUAGGAAUAAUGUCUUCAUGAUCAUUUUUCGGUGCUGCGUACAUGAAAUACCUUCUCCAAGUUUUAAUUUAUGAAGCGGACUAGGACCUUUGCUCCAAGCACCUGUGGAAGAUACUAGCCGAGCUGCGAACUGGUGAGCCGCGGGCAAAAGAAAAUACCGUCGAUGCAGUCGCAGGUUGUGGGUGGAUAGGCAAGCCGGUUGAGCCGAUGUGUUCACACGGGCAUCCGCCAUCCGGUCGAGGAGCGAGCCCAUGUGGUAAAGCUGCUUCGGGCCUUCCAGGUCGCACGCCGAUGCAGGUCUAGGCGAAGCGGCGUUCGCUGUUAGGUGAAGCAGAUCAACGAGAGAAAGUCAUUGGGUUUUGAAGAAAGCAAUCAACAGAUCAAUGUCGACCGGGGCAUGCUGAUAGGUGAUGGGCCAUCACACUUCACCAUCAGCUGGAAACUGAGAUUCGUCUUCGUCUAGACCUCUACCUUCAGUGAUUGUUCUGAUGCCAUUAUUUUCCAAUGAAACACCAUAUUCAGAUUUAGAAUGCCUCGCGAAAACGGCAAAGGGUUUGAGGGUGGCGAUUUUUAGCCUUGGAGUUGUAAGCCUUGCUUUAAGUGAAACAUGAUAUUUUAUCUACCACAAUAUACUAUUGGAGGUUGAUGAGAAUUAUUCCCUAUAAACGUCAGUCGUUGUUGUAUGUUCUUUUCACAUGAUCAGGCUAUGGAAGGGGUCAGGAUGGAUAGGGGAUCAAGUAUUAUCAGUGAGGACUUGAACCCUGCAAAAUAAGAACAAGUUACAGUCUAUUGCUAUCUUCAGAAACAAAAUAUAUAUACAUUUUCAUAAUUGUUUAUGGACACAUACUUAACUUUUGCGAAAAAGCCAGCUAAGAAAUUUUGCUGCACCGACUUUGUAAACCCAAAGGAUCACACCAAGCCAGUGCAUGAGGUAUGUUAUGUUCUCUGCCUGAGCAUACAUUUAUCUCUUAAUUUGUUCACGGGAUGCCAUAUUGUAUCAAAUGCUUGCAAUUGAGUUAUGCUCCUGGUGCUUGUUGAGAUGACAAACAUUGGAGUCAACAGAGCCGUGGAUUGCACUUGCCACGUCGACGCCAUGAUAUUUGCCUUUGAAUGCUUUCAUGAUGUAUGUUCUCGAUACACUUGUAGUUUGAGCAUUCUGAGCAUUGAUGUGUUUUCUACUUUGAGCUCAGUCAUGAAGUCUGAGUGCAGGGGUGGGGCGUGGUUAGGCUGGUGGGUGUCCCACACAAGGAGGUGGCAUUCAAUACCCACCUGAUGAACUUCCUCAGUGGCAAGACCUUGAAAGGUGCCUUCUUUGGGAACUACAAGCCACACACCAACCUCCCAGACGUUGUCAAGAUUUACGCGAGGAAGGAGCUGGAGCUGGAGAAGUUCAUCAUGCACGACGGACCUUUCUAACAGAUCAAAUUGUGCUCAUCAUUCUAAAGAGGAGGUACUGCUGCUUCACGAGGUUGGAUGAUUAGAUUGAGCUUCUUCGGUCAUGUCCCUUGCUACUUUUAGAUUUGGUGCUUGAGAAACAUAAGAAAAAUGCUUAUAAGAUCUUCCCUCAGGUAAUAAUGUAAUAGUUGUGAGACACCAUGUGUUGAGCUCUUUUUUGUCACAAAGAACUAACACUGUUUUGUGUUGUCGUACUGUUUUGUGUUGUCGUACAACACUUGCCAGCAGCAAGCAGUCUUUAGUUACUUUGUACCUGAACGUUUUGCACAGUAAUGGUCUGCAGUUUCUCUGUUUUUCUUUUGCACAUCAGCUUCUCUAUUAAUGUCGAUGUUUUCCUUUUUUUUAAAACUGAAUCUCGGUGUCUCAAUUGCACAUUGCAAAUCAGUUCUGAUAUUCUGUCAUCUUUAUGUUUGCAGUUAGCCAUUCUUUUACUCACCAGUCGUAAAAAUAGUAGAUAUUUCAAGUCCAAAUUCUAUGGGCAAAGUGGUGAUUGUAAAAAAAAACAUCAUCUAGCGAGCCAAGUGGAGUGUCCACUGUAGGCCUAAAGUCCAAGAGGAUCUUGACAUGCAUGAUCUUGAGAGAAAAAUACUAGCCUCCUGCAAAUGGCAUUUGGUCUAUUAUAAUGAACAUCUUAUGCUACAAAUACGCAAAAAAUCACAAUAAUAUGUAUACUACAACUACUAUAACUUUUAGAUAAAAUAAAAUUGUACAUAAUUACAUAUAGUUAACUUUAAAAUAAAAUACCUACACAACAUUGCAUCAAUACCUAACAUUCCGUAUUAAAAAGACGGGUGCGGCAACGCGCGCCAACGAUGAUCUAGUAAUUUCUAAAAAUAGACGACUAUGCUCCCUUUACGGUUGACUUAUCGGAUGAGGAUGAAGAGGACUAUAUGGUCCAUGUGCAGCUUGCCGCCGAACGUGCCAGUGAGGACUACUUGGCAUCACUUGUUCAGGUGGACCACAGCUCUAUGAUGAGAACCACGCUCUCCUCGAGUCUAUCAAGGGCGAAUGGGAGGUCGAGGCUAAUCGCUAGGAGAUGACCCGCUGUCAUGUCGAGAAGCAUAAGUAUUUCGCCGAGCUUGACAAGUUCGUCGACGAGACGAAGGAGAGCGAUGACCCAUUGCCAUGGAUUCGGCCCACCACCAAUGAUCACGAGAAGAUGCUUCAUCAAGCAUCAGGUGACUUGUAAAAUCAAUGAGGCUUUCUGGCAGUGGCGACCGUGGCUACUCUUCCUCAAGUGGUUCUAUACCCGCUGCCAUGGAGGACCACGAUAUCUACACUCCUGGCGAGGAGGAGCAUGAGAUGGUGCGUGAGGACGAGGAGGGGUCUGCCUCUAGCUCUACAGGCAUGAAGAAGCACUCUGGGUGUGGUCAGUCGGAGGUACCAAAGCCCACACCUCCCGAGCACCAGCCUGUCGUUUGACCCUACUUAGACAAUCAGUGGGAACUCGUUCAAGCGGCUUCACACCACCGGUAGGUGAACCACAUCAUUGGUGCUCUUCUGAAGGAGGACCCCCCCGACAUGGUGAAGCUGAAUGACAAGGUGUAAUCGUCCCCAGGAUUCACUUGGGAGAAGUACAACAACGCCCUGGAUGACGAGUGUGACAACAAGUCCGACCGGAUCUAUCGAGAUAUGUGGGAUGGGCACCUGGUUGAGGCACGCCUGAUGGCAGAGAGAGAUUCCAAGAACCGUCUCUCUAACAUGAGCACAUUGUGUGAUACACGACUGAGAUGAGAUGUCGCCCCCUGGAGGACGAGGGGAAUUAAAAUCACUUCUUGGUACUACUUACAUCAGUAGCCUCUUGUUUCUUCUAUUCGUCAUAUGAUGUACUUUGUCUGAGUAGCUAGAUGAUGGAGCCAUGGAUCCCAGCUGAUUGUUGGACGACAUUCAUGGGUAUGUGGUGCGACCCUGCGUGGCAGGUGCGACACGUUACGAAAAAGGGAGGAGAAACCGUGGAUGAAGGGCCUCUCACAUGUCCUAGGCGGCCUCAACCUGGCAGUUAGCUACCAAAAGAUGUGAGACAACAACCUGGGUGCCACGUCAACAUCAUGCGGGCGUGUGCACAUGGCCAUAGGGGAAAGGGGGCCAGGGUAUUACAACGACUCAACCAAGGAGAAGAUGGAUGCGUACACAACUGUGUACCGUGAGAAACAUGGGUCCGUGGUUGAUCCUCUGUAGUAGCCACCCGAUCCAGAGUUGGUCAUGAGGGUAGGAGGUGUGAAGAAGAGUGGUUGCCACCUCAUUUGCAAAGGUGCAGUCGCCACCUUCUCACAUCCCAAACUAUUUCAGAUCCAGGCACCGAGCACAAGCUCAAGUCCCUCCAUGAGGAGUCACCCGACGACUCAUUCACGUGAGAUUGCAUGACUCCAGAUUUGCAACUUCCAUACCCAUGUCUUUACAUUCCUGAAUUGCAAUCUAUAUUUGGGCCACAAAGCUGGAAGAAGAAAGGAUGAAAAGGGAGGAGGCCGAGGCCGCACAGGUGGCACGACCGCGGGAAGAAGUGGCUGCAAGAGAGAUGCUCCAGGUAGAGUUCAAGGGUUACCACUUUCCCAUAAUAGCCACCAAUAUUAACCGAUCAUCCAGUAUGAUACAAGGGUAACAAAGAUAACUGUAGGCGCUUCAUGAAAGUGUCAAGGCUAUGAAGCAUACCCCCCUCCUCCCCCACAAUCACAAAGCCCGCGUCCACGGAGUUGAUGUUUUCGAGAGGUUGUGUCGAUGAACUACUUUCGAACUUCCAAUGUUUCUUAUCUUAUGUGUGACUUGUACGACGCUUGUGAACUUUAUAUGCUUUUGAUAUUGUUAUGUGACUUGUUGGUA